rnacentral:lncRNA from 1 species
AUGCCGGGGCUGGAGCUGGGAAGGGGUCCACGAGCGCACUGCAGGCGGCGCAGGGAGAAGGGUCCGCCAGGGUUCACGCUCGAUCGCCGGACUUGCCCUGGGGAAGUGGUGGAUCGGGCAUCUCUUCCACAGCACACGCAAGCGCGCACGCACACACACACACACACACACACACUCACACUCACACACGCAUGGCCCGACCCCAGGCUGGCUCCGAGCCACCUCCGCCCGCGCCCCGCGCGGGGCUGCGGCGGCUACUCACCCUCCGCGCGGGAGCGGAUCUCCGACACGGUCCUCCGCAUGGUGGGCAUCGCGGCGGCCGCCGCAGGUGGGUCCUCAGCCGGGACUCUGCACCUGUCACGGCGCCGCGCCGGCGGGAGACCUGGUUCGCGGGAGCGCUCAGCCGCCAGCCGCGCGGGCAGCGCCACCCACCCAGGACAGCGCGGCGGCCGGGCGCGGCCCCCGCACGCCGGCUGGAGCAGAAGGAGGCGAGAAAGGCGGCGGCAGCGGUGGAGGUCUGGGACCUCCCUGUAUAAAGUAGGCUUCCUCUGGCUUGAUGAACAUGAGUCUGAAGCAAAAUUAAAAAGGUGGUUCAUCAUAAAGAUGAUACAGUUCUUGAUGCCAACUGCUGGGUGA